AGCAGUGCGUCGUCAUGAACGUACAUGGAAUUGUGCAACCAGGCUUUGCCAUCAAGGAGGAGCUAGUUUCGGUCAUGCAGAAUCGUCUGGACGAUGCGGUCUUGGAAGUCCUCACGACCACCUUGGCACGAAACCCCGCAUGCAAUCUCACCCUUGACGAUGUCCAGUUCAUCCAGAAGCCUCAAAGG
rnacentral:lncRNA from 1 species